AUUGAACGCUGGCGGCAGGCCUAACACAUGCGAGUCGAGCGGAUGAAGGGAGCUUGCUCCUGGAUUCAGCGGCGGACGGGUGAGUAAUGCCUAGGAAUCUGCCUGGUAGUGGGGGAUAACGUCCGGAAACGGGCGCUAAUACCGCAUACGUCCUGAGGGAGAAAGUGGGGGAUCUUCGGACCUCACGCUAUCAGAUGAGCCUAGGUCGGAUUAGCUAGUUGGUGGGGUAAAGGCCUACCAAGGCGACGAUCCGUAACUGGUCUGAGAGGAUGAUCAGUCACACUGGAACUGAGACACGGUCCAGACUCCUACGGGAGGCCGCAGUGGGGAAUAUUGGACAAUGGGCGAAAGCCUGAUCCAGCCAUGCCGCGUGUGUGAAGAAGGUCUUCGGAUUGUAAAGCACUUUAAGUUGGGAGGAAGGGCAGUAAGUUAAUACCUUGCUGUUUUGACGUUACCAACAGAAUAAGCACCGGCUAACUUCGUG
rnacentral:rRNA from 1 species